GUAGGUGGCAAGCGUUGUCCGGAAUUAUUGGGCGUAAAGCGCGCGCAGGCGGUUCUUUAAGUCUGAUGUGAAAGCCCACGGCUCAACCGUGGAGGGUCAUUGGAAACUGGAGAACUUGAGUACAGAAGAGGAAAGCGGAAUUCCACGUGUAGCGGUGAAAUGCGUAGAGAUGUGGAGGAACACCAGUGGCGAAGGCGGCUUUCUGGUCUGUAACUGACGCUGAGGCGCGAAAGCGUGGGGAGCAAACAGGGAUUAGAUACCCUGGUAGUCCACGCCGUAAACGAUGAGUGCUAAGUGUUAGGGGGGGUUUCCCGCCCCCUUAGUGCUGCAGCUAACGCAUUAAGCAUCCGCCUGGGGAUACGGCCGCAAGGCUG
rnacentral:rRNA from 1 species